GAUGGACGCUGGCGGCGUGCCUAAUACAUGCAAGUCGAGCGAACGGACGAGAAGCUUGCUUCUCUGAUGUUAGCGGCGGACGGGUGAGUAACACGUGGAUAACCUACCUAUAAGACUGGGAUAACUUCGGGAAACCGGAGCUAAUACCGGAUAAUAUUUUGAACCGCAUGGUUCAAAAGUGAAAGACGGUCUUGCUGUCACUUAUAGAUGGAUCCGCGCUGCAUUAGCUAGUUGGUAAGGUAACGGCUUACCAAGGCAACGAUGCAUAGCCGACCUGAGAGGGGGAACCGCCCCAAUGGAAAUGAGACACGGGCCCAAACCCCAAGGGGGGGAGGAGGGGGGAAUAUUUCCGAAUGGGGGGAAGGCUGAUCGAGCCAACCCGCGGGGGUGAAGGAGGGCUUCGGGUUGUAAAAACCCUUUUUUGGGGAAAAAAAGUAGAUGGAAAAAACUGUGCACUUCUGGCGGGACCCAAAUAAAAAAGCCCGGGUAAAUUGCUG
rnacentral:rRNA from 1 species